GCUUAUACAUGCAAGUCGAGCGAGAAAGCACCAAUCAUCUUCGGAUGUGCGGAGCGAGUAAGGCGGCGACCUGGUGAGUAACACGUGCUCUACCUACCUUUUCGUCGGGGACAACCUCUGGAAACAGGGGCUAAUACCCGAUAUGCCUUCGGGUGAAAGAGGCGUUUGCCUCGCGGGAAGAUGGGGUUGCGGCCCAUCAGCUUGUUGGUAGGGUAAUGGCCUACCAAGGCACAGACGGGUAGGGGGCUCGAGAGGGCGAUCCCCCACAUGGGGACUGAAAUACGGCCCUGACUCCUACGGGAGGCAGCAGUAGGGAAUCUUCCGCAAUGGACGAAAGUCUGACGGAACGACACCGCGUGGAGGAAGACGGCCUUCGGGUUGUAAACUCCUUUUAUAGGGGAAGAAUAAGGGUAUUAGGAAAUGAAUAUCCGAUGACGGUACCCUAUGAAUAAGCCACGGCUAACUCUGUGCCAGCAGCCGCGGUAAGACAGAGGUGGCAAACGUUAUCCGGAUUUACUGGGCGUAAAGGGCGUCUAGGCGGCUUAGCAAGUCUUCUGUGAAAGCCCCCUGCUUAACGGGGGGAGGCCAGAAGAAACUGCUAGGCUAGAGGAUCGGAGGGGGAAGCGGUACUACCAGAGGAGCGGUGAAAUGCGUAGAGACUGGUAGGAACCUCGAUAGCGAAGGCAGCUUCCUGGCCGAUUUCUGACGCUGAAGCGCGAAAGCGUGGGGAGCAAACCGGAUUAGAUACCCGGGUAGUCCACGCCGCANACGAUGUCGAUUAGGUGUUGGUCUCUUUAAUGCUGGACCAGUGCCGCAGCUCACGCGUUAAAUCGACCGCCUGGGGAGUACGGCCGNCAGGCUAAAACUCAAGGGAAUUGACGGGGCCCCGCACAAGCGGUGGAGCACGUGGUUUAAUUCGA
rnacentral:rRNA from 1 species